rnacentral:rRNA from 1 species
GACGAACGCUGGCGGCGUGCCUAAUACAUGCAAGUAGAACGCUGAAGGAGGAGCUUGCUCUUCUGGAUGAGUUGCGAACGGGUGAGUAACGCGUAGGUAACCUGCCUGGUAGCGGGGGAUAACUAUUGGAAACGAUAGCUAAUACCGCAUAACAGUAGAUGUUGCAUGACAUUUACUUAAAAGGUGCAAUUGCAUCACUACCAGAUGGACCUGCGUUGUAUUAGCUAGUUGGUGGGGUAACGGCUCACCAAGGCGACGAUACAUAGCCGACCUGAGAGGGUGGUCCGCCACACUGGGACUGAGACACGGCCCAGACUCCUACGGGAGGCAGCAGUAGGGAAUCUUCGGCAAUGGACGGAAGUCUGACCGAGCAACGCCGCGUGAGUGAAGAAGGUUUUCGGAUCGUAAAGCUCUGUUGUAAGAGAAGAACGAGUGUGAGAGUGGAAAGUUCACACUGUGACGGUAUCUUACCAGAAAGGGACGGCUAACUACGUG